GGUAAAUUUCAAUCUUCAUUUUCAUUCUUCUUUAUGGAUGCCAAAACAUUGUUUUGCAGAUUCAAGGCAAGGUCAACAAUAUAACUAUUCACAAAUAGAGCAAUUUUCUUAUAGGUGCAUUUGAGGUUUGUGAUCGGUCAAUGCCUACUUAUAGAGCAAUUUUUUUAUUGUUUUUUGUGUGUAGUUUUUAUUUAUUUAUUUAUGUUGAGUACGAGAUAGGUCAUCUUACAAUUACAAAAUUAUCAAGAAUUUUAAAUAUAAGCAUUGAGCUGGCCAA